GCAAACUUGGUCAUUUAGAGGAAGUAAAAGUCGUAACAAGGUUUCCGUAGGUGAACCUGCGGAAGGAUCAUUAUCGAAUGACAAUCGCCCUGCUGGGGCUGUGCGUCUCGCACGCCACAGCAGGCGCGUCGUUCUCACCUCACACCUGUGCACCUUCGGUCGGCCCUCGGGCCCUCCGCCUUUUUUCAUUCACCUCUGUAAAAGAAUGUAAAAUACAUAUUGCGUAAAACGCGAAACAACUUUCAACAACGGAUCUCUUGGCUCCCGCAUCGAUGAAGAACGCAGC
rnacentral:misc_RNA from 1 species